AACACGUGGAUAACCUACCUAUAAGACUGGGAUAACUUCGGGAAACCGGAGCUAAUACCGGAUAAUAUUUUGAACCGCAUGGUUCAAAAGUGAAAGACGGUCUUGCUGUCACUUAUAGAUGGAUCCGCGCUGCAUUAGCUAGUUGGUAAGGUAACGGCUUACCAAGGCAACGAUGCAUAGCCGACCUGAGAGGGUGAUCGGCCACACUGGAACUGAGACACGGUCCAGACUCCUACGGGAGGCAGCAGUAGGGAAUCUUCCGCAAUGGGCGAAAGCCUGACGGAGCAACGCCGCGUGAGUGAUGAAGGUCUUCGGAUCGUAAAACUCUGUUAUUAGGGAAGAACAUAUGUGUAAGUAACUGUGCACAUCUUGACGGUACCUAAUCAGAAAGCCACGGCUAACUACGUGCCAGCAGCCGCGGUAAUACGUAGGUGGCAAGCGUUAUCCGGAAUUAUUGGGCGUAAAGCGCGCGUAGGCGGUUUUUUAAGUCUGAUGUGAAAGCCCACGGCUCAACCGUGGAGGGUCAUUGGAAACUGGAAAACUUGAGUGCAGAAGAGGAAAGUGGAAUUCCAUGUGUAGCGGUGAAAUGCGCAGAGAUAUGGAGGAACACCAGUGG
rnacentral:rRNA from 1 species